UUGAUAGGAUAGGGCACCCUAAAAUACUGGGGAGAGGAGUUUGGGGUCGAGGCGUCGGAAAGGCGGGAGGUGCCCCGCCGCUUUAGAAGCCCGGCGCAGUGCACGACGGGACGCCCCCGGGAAGGGGCGGAGCCGUGUCCGGGCUGCGGUUGGGAAAGCGCCGUCACUCCGAGGGGCGUGUUGAAGAGGGUUUCGCGGGCUCGAGCGGGGGAGGGGGUACCGUUAAAACCCUGCACCGCGCCCACAGGAAGCUGCUCUAUUGGCUAGGCCUACUUGGUACCAGGCUCUCGGCUGGGAAGGACCUUGAAGACCAUGCGGUUCAACUUCCAAUUUGCAGAUGUGGAAACUGAAGCCGAGAGAGGGCACGUGGGAUCUUAGCUCUCUGACCAAGGAUCAAACCCGCACCCCCUGCACUGGAAGGCGAAGUCUUAACCACUGGACCACCAGUACAUAUAAGGCCGCUACACAGAGUACAUGACGGGAAAAAAGGACUCCGUCUGAAUGAGAAGUCGUGAAGAACAGAGGAAACGUCUGGAGGAUGUGGUACACCAAAAUGAGAAUAAACCAAGAAACAGGAAGACGUGAUCCUGGAAACAGGAUAUUCAACAGAGACGACCUGAGUUCCAGAGAGUGCCUUGCCGAAGGUCGCACAAGUCAGCGUUGGAGCCUCUAGCAGAACUCAGGUCUCCUGACACCCAGUGAUGCAUUAAAAUACUUUUUUAAAAACUGGUUAAAAAAAAUUACCAUCAACCAUUUUUAAGUGUAUAGUUCAGUAGUGUUAAGUAUAGUCACAUGGUUGUGUAACAAAUCUCUAGAACUUACUCAUCUUGCAAAACUGAAACUUUAUAUCCAUUGAACAACAACUCUCUACUUUCCCCUCACCCAUGCCCCUGGCAACCACCAUUCUACUUUCUGUCUCUAUGAAUUUGAGUACUGUAGAUACCUUCCGUAAGUGGAGUCACACAGUAUGUGUCUCUUUGUGAUUGUCAUUUCACUUAGCAUAUGUCCUCGAGGUUGAUACAUUUCCUCCCUUAAGGCUGAACAGUAUUACAUUGUUUGUAGCACAUUUUGUUUGUCCAUUCUUCCAUCAGCGGACACUUGGGUUGCUUCCACCUUUUAGCUAUCACGAAUAAUGCUGCUCUGAGCAUGGCUAUACACACAUCUCCUUGAGAUCUUGCUUUCUGUUCUUUUGGAUAUAUACUUGGAAGUGGGAUUCCAGUAAUGCAUUUUUUAAAUUCUCCAUCUCAUUCCAAAAAUGAUUUGAGGCCACUGUCCCAGCACCUUCAUAAGUAUUAAAAAAAAAAAAAGUUCUGAAUUUCUAAUGAACGAACAAAGGGGCCAGAAUGGAAUAGAGGAGACAACAGAAGGGAGUGGCCUAUGAGAAGUCUGGUAGAAAAAAGCUUUUUACCUUUACCCUCGGGAAGUAGCUGCAAAUAAUUAAGAUCCACCAGAGAUGGACUGGAGUGGCCAAGGCUUGUUUUCUCAUCUACAUAAAGGUCUCCAAAACAUUCCCAAAGUUGCAUUCAAACAGAGUAAGCUCUGUGCAUAUGAAAGGGUCACAAAGGAGGGAUUCGGUAUUCAUGAUACCUGGUCUGUACAGGGGUGGGUGCACAAACUCAGAUAUUCUGGGCCUGUCAUGGGACCUUCAUAAAGGAUCUAGUCAGAGUGGGGACUGUGGUAGAGUAUGCUGGUCAUAAGUCUGUACUCAGCUCCAGACAUUGAUGUCAGAUCUUCUGAUUUUUCAAGAAAAACUAGAUACACCUGAAACUAACACAACAUUAUAAGUCAACUAUGCUCCAAUAAAAAUUUUUUUAAAAAAAGAAAA